rnacentral:rRNA from 1 species
GUAGCACAGAGGAGCUUGCUCCUCGGGUGACGAGUGGCGGACGGGUGAGUAAUGUCUGGGAAACUGCCCGAUGGAGGGGGAUAACUACUGGAAACGGUAGCUAAUACCGCAUAACGUCGCAAGACCAAAGAGGGGGACCUUCGGGCCUCUUGCCAUCGGAUGUGCCCAGAUGGGAUUAGCUAGUUGGUGAGGUAAUGGCUCACCAAGGCGACGAUCCCUAGCUGGUCUGAGAGGAUGACCAGCCACACUGGAACUGAGACACGGUCCAGACUCCUACGGGAGGCAGCAGUGGGGAAUAUUGCACAAUGGGCGCAAGCCUGAUGCAGCCAUGCCGCGUGUGUGAAGAAGGCCUUCGGGUUGUAAAGCACUUUCAGCGGGGAGGAAGGCAAUGCGGUUAAUAACCGUGUUGAUUGACGUUACCCGCAGAAGAAGCACCGGCUAACUCCGUGCCAGCAGCCGCGGUAAUACGGAGGGUGCAAGCGUUAAUCGGAAUUACUGGGCGUAAAGCGCACGCAGGCGGUCUGUCAAGUCGGAUGUGAAAUCCCCGGGCUCAACCUGGGAACUGCAUUCGAAACUGGCAGGCUUGAGUCUUGUAGAGGGGGGUAGAAUUCCAGGUGUAGCGGUGAAAUGCGUAGAGAUCUGGAGGAAUACCGGUGGCGAAGGCGGCCCCCUGGACAAAGACUGACGCUCAGGUGCGAAAGCGUGGGGAGCAAACAGGAUUAGAUACCCUGGUAGUCCACGCCGUAAACGAUGUCGACUUGGGAGGUUGUGCCCUUGAGGCGUGGCUUCCGGAGCUAACGCGUUAAGUCGACCGCCUGGGGGAGUACGGCCGCAAGGUUAAAACUCAAAUGAAUUGACGGGGGCCCGCACAAGCGGUGGAGCAUGUGGUUUAAUUCGAUGCAACGCGAAGAACCUUACCUGGUCUUGACAUCCACGGAAUUCGGCAGAGAUGCCUUAGUGCCUUCGGGAGCCGUGAGACAGGUGCUGCAUGGCUGUCGUCAGCUCGUGUUGUGAAAUGUUGGGGUUAAGUCCCGCAACGAGCGCAACCCUUAUCCUUUGUUGCCAGCGGUCCGGCCGGGAACUCAAAGGAGACUGCCAGUGAUAAACUGGAGGAAGGUGGGGAUGACGUCAAGUCAUCAUGGCCCUUACGACCAGGGCUACACACGUGCUACAAUGGCAUAUACAAAGAGAAGCGACCUCGCGAGAGCAAGCGGACCUCAUAAAGUAUGUCGUAGUCCGGAUUGGAGUCUGCAACUCGACUCCAUGAAGUCGGAAUCGCUAGUAAUCGUGGAUCAGAAUGCCACGGUGAAUACGUUCCCGGGCCUUGUACACACCGCCCGUCACACCAUGGGAGUGGGUUGCAAAAGAAGUAGUUAGCUUAACCUUCGGGAGG